CAUACUACUACUACUACUAAAGCAUAAUAGUUGCAGCGUUUGUGAUGGUGAGACUAAUGACUCUGACUUCAAAAUUUGACACAAAGUCAUCCGAAAAUUGACUUGAAUCAAUAUGAAUAAGUGUUUUAUUGCUCCCGUAACAUGAAUGAUAAAGUUCACUCCAAGAGGGAUUUGAACUCUGAACAUGAAUAUAGCAUUACAAACAAUUAUAAUAAUAUUAAUAAUUGUGAAGGUAAUUACACAAAUUACAUUACUGGCUUUAACAUAUCUAACAUCUGCAGACGAUAAACAUAUGCAAUUAUGCAUCAAUUGUAUAUCAUUUAAACAGUUAUAUAUGACUCUGUGUGUGUAGAUAGAUAGAUAGACAGAUAAGAGUUUAGCAUAAGGGGUGCUAGUCAGUACCCUCCAUCAUUUCUGUGACCUUAAUUAAUUUUGCCCUUUAGGUUCUAAUUGUUAAUAAGCCACCCUUUUAAAUUUGCUUUAGUUAGAUAGAUAGAUAGAUAGAUAGAUAGAUAGAUAGAUAGAUAGAUAGAUAGAUAGAUAGAUAGAUAGAUAGAUAGAUAGAUAGAUAGAUAGAUAGCUAUGUAUCUUUAUGUGAAUGGAGGUAGGUAGGUAUACUCGGAGUCAUAAUGUUUUCAGUUGUAAGGUGUAAGGGCUGGCUCAUGUAUAGUAAUUUACUCCUUUAGUACACUUAAUGCAACAGGAGAUUCCAGUGGUGCUCCAACAGUGAAGACAGAAGAUAGUUAUACAUUCCAUGUGUGUGUAUAUGUACAUAUACAUGCGCGUGUAUGUGUGAGUGUGCAUCUUAAUAUGAAUAUGUUUUUCUAUGUAUACAUAUAUGCAUUUAUAAAUAUCUAUAUGUAUAUAUAUAUAAUCACUGGAGUUUCAAAGAAUAUACCUUCUGGCAUUCAGUUAUGACUCAUAACAUUUUGAGUUCAAAUUCUACUCAGGUAGACCUCUUUCUGAGGGUAAUAUCAGAACUAGCUGUCAAGUGCUGCAGUGAAUAUCAUUGGCUGUACCCUUGGGAUGAUGCCAAAGAAUAGCUGAAGUCUAGUGAUUGAAACUAGCGAAAGAAUAUGUGUAUGUGUAUAUAUAUAUAUCAAUGUAUAUAUAAGUGUGUAUUCAUACAUGUGUAGUAUCUAUAUAUGCAUAUGUGAUGGAAAGCAUUUUUAAAUUACUAUAGAAGUAAGCAAAAAAAGAGUACAAUUUAUCUAAGCUUAAGGUUAUUUUAUAGAAUUUUGAUCGAUAUAGCAAAUUCGGAAUUUACUGUGAUUAUUAACAUUAAAAUUAUUCCCAUUAUCACUUAAAUAUUAUUAGUAUUAGUAAUAGCUAUUAUUAGUAGUAAGGUGCUGAUGUGGCAUAAUUGGUAGCCAAGAAGAAUUUUGUUACAUCUCUUUACUGAGUUUUAAUCCUGCCGAGGUCAAUUUUGCCUCUCAUUUCUCUCAAGGAAGGGUAAAAAAAAUAUAAUACCAGACAAGUACAGGAGGUUGACUUUGUCUUUCAUCCUUUCAGGCUUUGUGCCUAUAGCAGAAAGGAUUAUUAAUAUUCUUAUUCUUAUUAUUAUUAUCAUUAUUAGUAUUACUAUUAUGAUUAUUAUUAUUAAUUUUUACUAUUAGAAGAUCAAGAAGGGGCAAUGAGCAAACAAAUAAGUUAGCUUGGAUACAAAUUUGCAGCCUAGCUGUAGAUAUGUGUUACCUCAUUAGACAAGAAACUUAACUCUACUUGCUUUGCUAAAAAGCUUUAUGACUAAUUUAAAACUUGUCGAUAUCACAAGAAUUUUGUGGAAGGUUACAUGGUGGCAUAACACUAGAUUGUGAGUAAACAGAUGAGAGUUUUUUGGUUAGAAUCUGUGAAAUAAUAUUUAGGACAGGAUAAACAUCUCAACCACUCUCUGUUUCUCUGUUAUGACUGAAUAAGAAGUUUUCUUUAUCAUCAUCUACCACCCUCAUCACCUCAUCAAAAUCUCAUCUCCAUCACUAUCAAUGUUGUUGUCAUCACCAUCAUGAUCACCACCAUAAACAUCAUCCUUAUCCUCAUCUUUAUCUUUAUCGUUAUUGUUGUUGUUGAUGUUGUUGUUGGUUUUUUCUUCAUACUACACCUAAACAAAUAAUUAUAAGUAUUUAGUAAGUAUUACAGAAGAAUUACAUGCAUUUUAUCCAAUAAUAAAAAUGAUCAUUCUAACAACAGUAAUAAUUUCUGACUUAGGCACACAUGAUAAUAAAGUACAAAUCCUUUUCUUCAUAACUGAAAUAAGUUACUGUAUUUACUUAGAAACAAUUUUUCUCUUACACAAAAUGCUAACACUUGAAAAAUACUAAUUUUGUAAUAUCUUAUACAAAACAAACAGUAAUAACUUACAUGAGGACCCUCAAUAAGACAAACCUUCAAAUCGUUAUACUAUGUAGAAGACAAUUGCCAGAACAAAUAUGAAGAUCAUAGCACCUUGAAUAGAAGACGAGUGAUAGGACAAAUAAUACUAUCAUAAAAACAUAAAUACAUAUAGAGGACCCGUAGUAGAACAAUCAUAUUAGAUUACAUAGAGGAAUAUUGCCAGAAUAAACACUAAUAUUAUAAUACUUUACAUAGAGAACCAUAAAUAUGCCAAACAUUGAAACAAUACCCUAUACAGGAGACUAUAUGUAGGACGUAACAUAGUGACACAUUUCUAUUAUAAAGCA